rnacentral:lncRNA from 1 species
GCCUCGCAGGUGCAAGGUCCUGAGUUCGAUCCCUAGUACCAAAAAACAAAAAAAGACCUGAUAAAAACAGGCCUGGUUUUCUAAGGUAGCCAGUGACCACAUCCUGGAUUAAGAGCUGCAGGAUUCCUCUUGUCCCUCUACCCAGAGCACUGUGUGUUAGUCGAGGGGUCACAAAGAGAACCGAGUUACUUUCUGUGUUUUCAGGUGGCUACAUGUGUGCUGCGGGACAGUCCGUGACUACGUUUCCUGAGAUAGUCCUGUGUAGCUGGAAACCUGUGCUCUCCAAAACCACUGACUGGACCUAUAGAUGUUGAAAAUGAACAUCCGGCCCAGUGAGGAGCCUUUGGUGGCCCAGACCAGGCCUGUAUGAGACUGUGGGCAUGGUGAGAUGGACAUGCUAAGAUUUAGGAAGAGUUGGGACAGCUCAGUGCAACAAGCCAGGUGUGGUGGCACAUGCCUAUAAUCCCAGCACUCAAGAGACUGAGGCAAGAGGAUCACGAGUGUUCAAGACCAGCUACACACCAGAGACACAGACUACACAUUGCAGGAUUCUGAGGCAGCUUCAGAUCGGCAGGAUAGGAUCGUUUACACCACUUGCGGAGAACCUGUGGGAC